GGCGGGGGCACGGGGGGAGGAAAGUAGGGGAUCGAAAGACCUUAUGCUUUUGGAGCGGCCGAUGUCUGAUUAGCUAGUUGGUAGGGUAAUGGCUUACCAAGGCGACGAUCAGUAGUUGGUCUGAGAGGACGACCAGCCACACUGGGACUGAGACACGGCCCAGACUCCUACGGGAGGCAGCAGUGGGGAAUUUUGGACAAUGGGCGCAAGCCUGAUCCAGCAAUGCCGCGUGAGUGAAGAAGGCCUUCGGGUUGUAAAGCUCUUUCAGUUGAGAAGAAAAAGUNGUGACUAAUAAUCAUGAUUCAUGACGGUAUCAA
rnacentral:rRNA from 1 species